rnacentral:snRNA from 1 species
GUGCUUGCUCAGGCAGCACAUAUGAAAAAUUGGAAUCGAUACAGAGAAGAUUAGCAUGGGCCCCUGCGAAAGGAUGACACGCAAUUUCGUGAAGCGUUUCCACAUUUU